CAGGAUCUCAAGAAACAGGGCGAGCGACCCCACAGAUGUCUUGAAAUUAGCUCCACACGCGUUCUUAACAAACCGAGGGGUGAAAUCCCCAGUGUGUGUCAAACCUCUCAGACUCUGGGAAUAGAGGGCCGCGAUGUCAAGGAAGCCGACUUUACAACUCAAGUCUGCUCAGGAGGUGACAGCUGUCUUGACAGAUUUCGAGUUGCAGAAAUGGAUGCCCAGAGAGGGGAAGGAACGUGUCUGAAGCCACCCAGCAAGGCGGCGGCAGAUUGGAACACACGACUCUUCCCACCUUCGAGGUUGGAUUCCCCAUCAGACCUGUGUCCCAAGUGACAGGCUUUUAGCACGUCCCUGUACCACCUGACCUAUUGUCUCCUGAAGGUUCUUUUCUUUCAAUAAACCACUUUUUUAAAUGUGAA